ensembl:lncRNA
ACCUUCUGGAUGACUUGCACCUUUACCUAAUUUAGAAGAAUGCUCUUUAUUUCUUCCCUUAAGGCCCAAGAGAAUUUCCCUGAUUAUUUUGCACUGUGUAGCCAGAUAUGCCUUAAAGCAUCUGUCAUUAGCCAUUUUCCCUAUGAUUCUUCACUGUAUCCAGGAUAAAUAGCAAAUGUCAAGUGAGUGUUGUAUAGAAUGGAGAGACCAUUCUCAGGAGAACAUCCGUCUUCAAUAAGUGGAACUCCAGAUUACACAAAGCUGCAGGCAUAAAAGCAGCUGCAAAAGCAUUUUCAGCUUGAAAAUGAAAUCGUUUUCUCUAGAAAAAAAUACAUGAAAGUUAAGGUAGCUGAACUGGGGUCUCAAUGAGGCCUCCUCUGUACUGUCAGUAGAGACGCUGAGCCCCUGUGGAAGUACUUCAUGCAUUGUCAAGACCACAUAACAACAGUGUGCUGGGGCUGUCCAGGAUCUGGCUAGAAUGAAGCAUGCACUCUUCUGUUCCAGGUACCACAGCAACCUUUUCACAGGAAGAGAAAAGGUAUCUACCUUUACUUUUGCCCAAGGCAGAUGGAUCUGGGCCUUCUAGGAAGUAAGAAAUGCUCCCAGUUUCUGCAGCAGGACAUAGCUUUGGUUGGACUUACACCUUCCGAAGAAACCUCUCCAUGUGACUACGUGAGGAUCACAAGGAGACCUGUGCUUCACCAUAGGUAUCCAGCUAAUAUGUUCAAACAUAGGGCUUUUCAUCAUUCCUCAUUUCGUUACUCUGUAAAAUUGAUUUUCAUAGUUUUAAGUAAUUUUGUUUUACUAUUAUGUAGUCUGAAUAGAUAAUACUGACCUUGAAAUCAAGUAUGACAACUUCUAAUAAGAUUUCAGCUUCAUGUUCUGAACUCUACUGAAUAUGGAAGCUAUUGUUUCCUGUCUUCUGUGUAUGACUCUUAUUGUUCUAGGUGACUGCUUUUUAUGUCUAGCUUGAAAUAGAGUUCUUGUAAUUGUAUUGUUUACUUCUCUGGAGAAACCAGUUUGUUUUCCUAUUCUUUUUUGAAAGUUAAUGAAUUCCUUCGUGAAAGAUGAGGCACUGAAUAAAAAAGACCUGCUUAUGGGACAAAUUC